UACGUAGGGGGCAAGCGUUACUCGGAAUUACUGGGCGUAAAGCGUGCGUAGGCGGUUUGUUAAGUCCGUUGUGAAAGCCCUGGGCUCAACCUGGGAAUUGCAGUGGAUACUGGCGAGCUAGAGUGCGGUAGAGGAUGGUGGAAUUCCCGGUGUAGCGGUGAAAUGCGUAGAGAUCGGGAGGAACACCCGUGGCGAAGGCGGCCAUCUGGACCAGCACUGACGCUGAGGCACGAAAGCGUGGGGAGCAAACAGG
rnacentral:rRNA from 1 species